rnacentral:tRNA from 1 species
GGCUCAAUGGUCUAGUGGUAUGAUUCUCGCUUUGGGAACUGAACUAAACUGCGAGAGGCCCCGGGUUCGAAUCCCGGUUGAGCCC